rnacentral:rRNA from 1 species
UACGAAGGGGGGCUAGCGUUGUUCGGAAUUACUGGGCGUAAAGCGCGCGCAGGCGGUCUUCCAAGUCAGUGGUGAAAGCCCGGAGCUCAACUCCGGAACUGCCAUUGAAACUGUUAGACUUGAGGACGAGAGAGGUGAGUGGAAUUCCCAGUGUAGAGGUGAAAUUCGUAGAUAUUGGGAAGAACACCGGUGGCGAAGGCGGCUCACUGGCUCGUAUCUGACGCUCAGGCGCGACAGCGUGGGGAUCAAACAGG